ACUUUACAAUGCGGGAAACCGUGAUAAGGGGACACCGAGUGCUAGCAUCAUAUGCUAGCUGUCCAGGCGUGUAAACUACGCCUGUUAGCAAGGGCCGGGCAAGACCGGUGCCAGCCGCCGCGGUAACACCGGCGGCCCGAGUGGUAAUCGUUAUUAUUGGGUCUAAAGGGUCUGUAGCCGGCCGGAUAAGUCUCUUGAGAAAUCUGGCAGCUUAACUGUCAGGCUUUCAGGAGAUACUGUCUGGCUCGAGGCCGGGAGAGGUGAGAGGUACUUCGAGGGGGUAGGGUGAAAUCUUGUAAUCCUUGAGGACCAAGUGGCGAAGGCGUCUCACCAGAACGA
rnacentral:rRNA from 1 species